AUCGCUUCUCGGCCUUUUGGCUAAGAUCAAGUGUAGUACCUGUUUUUAUCAGUUUAAUAUCUGAUACGUCCUCUAUCCGAGGACAAUAUAUUAAAUGGAUUUUUGGAGCAGGGAGAUGGAAUAGGAGCUUGCUCCGUCCACUCCACGCAUCGACCUGGUAUUGCAGUACCUCCAGGAACGGUGCACCCCCU
rnacentral:snRNA from 1 species